rnacentral:rRNA from 1 species
GACGAACGCUGGCGGCGUGCCUAAUACAUGCAAGUCGAGCGCAGGAAACUGACGGAACUCUUCGGAGGGAAGGCAGCGGAAUGAGCGGCGGACGGGUGAGUAACACGUAAGGAACCUGCCUCAAGGAUUGGGAUAACUCCGAGAAAUCGGAGCUAAUACCGGAUAGUUCAUCGGACCGCAUGGUCCGUUGAUGAAAGGCGCUCCGGCGUCACCUUGAGAUGGCCUUGCGGUGCAUUAGCUAGUUGGUGGGGUAACGGCCCACCAAGGCGACGAUGAAUAGCCGGCCUGGGAGGGUGAUCGGCCACACUGGGACUGAGACACGGCCCAGACUCCUACGGGAGGCAGCAGUAGGGAAUCUUCCACAAUGGACGAAAGUCUGAUGGAGCAACGCCGCGUGAGUGAUGAAGGUUUUCGGAUCGUAAAACUCUGUUGUAAGGGAAGAACACGUACGAGAGGAAAUGCUCGUACCUUGACGGUACCUUACGAGAAAGCCACGGCUAACUACGUGCCAGCCGCCGCCGUAAGAC